GAACUUUAAAGGACUAUAUCUGUGAAUUCUACAUUGACUAAGUCAACAUGGGGAGGGUUUCCAGAAGAAAGCAAUGGGAGUUGCCUUUCCCCCACUGUCACAAACAUCCUCCACCAGACAUGAUCCAAUAACUACAAAUGACCAGCUCACACAAGCCCUGCGCGCCUCCUGUGCCGGAAAACCACCCCGCCUCCGCUUCCCCCACAGAGCCGCGGCCUAACAGGUUGCCAACACCUGCGAGGGCAGCUGGUUGUCCAGGCUGCCAUCUGCCAGACUGUCUGCACACAGGGCCGGACCGUUGCAUCAAAGAGCCUGAGCCCACAGGACUGUUGACCAUGUAAAGAGGGCGUUCAUUUUACGGCCUGCUGAGGAGUGGAGAGACGAGUUGGAGCUGGGACCAGCUGCAAUUCAUCUUCAUCAACGGUCUACUUAAGCCGGUCCCGAACGCCACCUCGUCGCCAGAUCGUCUUGAGUAGUCGUGCUGUCAGUCGCCUCUAACUCGCAAAACUAUUCGCACUUAGGUCUAAGAAAUACUGAUCAGCUUUUUUCCUCUUGUCACUCUGAGACUCCACGCCUGGCUCCUCGCCUGCACACCUGCCUUCCUGCGGAGUUCCCCCACGCCUGCAACCUCGCUUGCACAUCUGCCUGCCCAUGGACCCCCUUGUCUGGCCGAAACGGAUCACCCGAAGUCCCUACUCCCCCUACAUAAACGCCCUAUAAAUUAACUUGCAUUGCUCGUUUCUGCUGUUGGGUCCUGUCCCGCGUCCCAAACCGUAACAUUUGUCUCUAUGGUGUCUCA